rnacentral:rRNA from 1 species
AUUGAACGCUGGCGGCAGGCCUAACACAUGCAAGUCGAACGAGUGGCGGACGGGUGAGUAAUGUCUGGGAAACUGCCCGAUGGAGGGGGAUAACUACUGGAAACGGUAGCUAAUACCGCAUACCAUCGGAUGUGCCCAGAGGGGCUUAGCUAGUAGGUGGGGUAACGGCUCACCUAGGCGACGAUCCCUAGCUGGUCUGCGAGGAUGACCAGGCACACUGGAACUGGGACACGGUCCAGAGCCCUACGGUAGGCAGCAGUGGGGAAUAUGGCACAAUGGGCGCAAGCCUGAUGCAGCCAUGCCGCGUGUAUGAAGAAGGCUGUCGGGUUGUAGAGUACUUUCAGCGAGGAGGCGUUACUCGCAGAAGAAGCACCGGCUAACUCCGUGCCAGCAGCCGCGGUAAUAC